AGAUGUGAAGGUGAUUUGCCUGUGACAUGUCACCCCAUUGAUUGCCAGGAUUAAUUCAGCUGAUCUGAAUGAUUAGGCAGGUGUCCCCUUCCUCCUUAUGUCUCCAUAUGCAUCCCUCCUAAAACUGCACUCAAGCAAAAGAAGACGACCUUCCUGAACAGAAAUGGACAAGUCUUCAUUUGACCAUAUAUACGCAAGUAGCUGUGCUUUCCUGCUCAAACUCCCAAACAAGCUCUCAAGAAAGCUCUGUAACUAAAUUAUAGAACUUCCUUAUAGGUCUUCAGGAUAAUUCUUAGUGUUCCU
ensembl:misc_RNA 7SK 7SK RNA